GCUUAGAUCCACGAUGAUAUAUUAACUUGAUUUCACAUGCAUGCUGAUCCACAAAACACAGGAAUUUAAGAUUGGUCUUAAACAAAUUUACAAAUAAAUAGGCCUUGAAUAAGCUACGGACAGUUGUGUAAACUUAAUUUCCUACUCAAUUAUUAAAUAUAUCGAUCCGGAUUAAAUAGGUCAGAAUUCUAAACUCGAAUAUAAUCCAUCUAAUAAUUGAAUUACUCAGGUUAGCAUAUUUACAAUGCAAAUUUGAUAUGUCAAAUUCGCAUCUACUUAUCUCAAGUUAGUUACAUGUUAGAUUGGAG
rnacentral:lncRNA from 1 species